rnacentral:lncRNA from 1 species
UCCCUCUCAUAGUUUCAUAGAUUUUAAGAUGAAAAGGGAACCAUUAUGAUCAUCUAGUCUGACCUCCUGAAUGGCACAGACCAUUGAACCUCACACAGUGACUCCUGCAUCAAGCCCAUGACUGCUGUUUGAGCUAUAGUGUAUCUCUUUGAAACACAUCCAGUCUAGAUGUAAAGAGUUCAAGUGAUCCUCUUCUCCUUAACUUUGUCCUCAUGGGUUUCUGCUUCCAAACUACCUAACUGGGUGGGAAGUGGAGUCAGUCUAUAUGUAUAUGCUAGGCCUUUCACCAAUAUUGUGUUUUUUGCUUCCAGUAGAUGAUGCUAUAAUAACUAGCUAUUCUGAUAACUGCAACAAGACUGGAGAACAGGAAUUACUCUGUCAACAAAUGGAGGCACUGGUGAGUAUGUUUCCCUUCCAUCUAUAAGAAGGCUUUUCAACCACAAUUUUUCUCAGUGAAAAAUCGAAUCGUAACUCAGACUUUUAUCACAUUAGAUGGCGGUUCCAUCCUCCCUUCCAGUGACAUGCUCAGUAAACAUGACUUAAAGACGACAGGAUCUCAGUGGAGGACUGACUUUCCUAUCCAUUUGCCAGGGGUUGGAAACAGCUACUGUGUGUCCACAUUCCAUCUCAACACUUCUCUGAAGCUACUAUUUUGUUCUGCAGAAUCUCAGGUUUCAUUGUUUUAAAUCUCUAAGUUUUAUGAUUGUGAAGGAAGUCUCAAAAAUAUGAACUGAUCAUAACUGAUGCAGAAAUGAAUCUGUAGAGAGCCUAGAACAAUACUUCUAAGAAAUGUGAAUUGUCCCACUCAGCUCAAUGAGGUGUU